UUAAGUUCAGCGGGUAUUCCUACCUGAUCCGAGGUCAACCUUCAGUAUAGUGGGGGUUUAACGGCCAGAACGCGCCGCGGUCCCAGGGCGAGGUGUUGCUACUACGCCCGGAGCCACGGAGGGUCCGCCACUGAUUUUAGGGGCCUACGCUCAGCGCGUAGUGCCCCAACGCCAAGCAGUGCUUGAGGGUUGAAAUGACG
rnacentral:misc_RNA from 1 species